UGGCCUGGCACAUGGGUUAAGGAGUCAGUGCUGCCACAGCUGUGGCAUGGAUCUGAUCUCUGGCCCGGGAACUCCAUAUGCUGCGGGACGGCCAAAAAGGAAAAACAAAACAAACAAAUAAAUAUAUCUAUGUGUCGCCUUUCUUUUUCUUCCACUCUUCUCCAAGGAAGAAAUAGCUUUUCUUCUAUCAGAUUAACUGAACUAAAGCCAAACUCUGAGCAUCCUUACUUCAGUGGCUUCUCCAUCGAGUGUAGAUUGAAGUAAAUAAAGCUCUUUGCUUGGCGUGUGAGGUGCACCAUGAUGUGGCUCAAACCUCCUUUGCCAGGGUCAGUACUUGCAGUGACCCUUCCUUUGGUGGCCCUUCCUUCAGUGACCCUUCCUUUGGUGGCCCUUCCAUCAGUGGCCCUUCCAUUGGUGGCCCUUCCAUCAGUGGCCCUUCUUUUGCUGGCCCUUUCUUCUGUGGUCCAUGUGGAUGGGAUUCAUUCUCUAUGUCCUACUUUGCUUACUUCCUUGCCUUGUCUGAUGUUCCUUCUUCAAAACAAGCAAUGUUUUCCUCCUUCAUCUAUAAUGAUAUUUGAGCAUCCAGGCAAAAGCUGUAUCUCAGAUGAUGGAGCUUCUGAUUCCCCCAGCGUGCAGGGCUCAUGCCUGUCCAUGUUCCUAGAACACUUUACCAACUUUCCUGGCAUUCAUAAUCUCACCCCCUGGAAGGGGAGCUCCUGGGUUACAGUGUGUUGCUUCUCUCUCUCAUAAUGCCCAUCACAUACUCUUAUAUUUAGUAAUGCUCAAAAAUGUAUUUUGAACAAAUAAAUGGAUGGAAUCCCUUAUUUCCAAGCCUAAACACUAUGUUAAAUGUUAGUUACAAAGCUACACCUAUUUUAAAUGAAAAUUUUGUAGAGACACCUGCUAUUUUGGCUGCUCCAUGAAUGAACUCUGGAUUAGGAUGGGAAAGUGAUUCAUUUCUUGUUUUAGCUCAUUGGACAGGGUGUGUUUAGACAAUUGCCGAAAUGCUCAAGUUCAUUAGAUUUAAACAUAGAGCGAUAUCUUGUUUAAGUUGUGGUUAUUUUGUGGUUUCUUUGAUGUGCUUAAAUGCUAAGAUGUCAGGAUUUAUAAUGAGGUCAACAGAGGGGUGUUUGACCUUAUAUGACCAUGGUUUUGUGUGCACAAAACAUACAGUGCAUGGUGGAGAGAAGGGAAUAGAGAAUAAUGGAAAAAGGGAAAGAUAAAAAAUAGAGUUGCAGGUUUUUGGAAGGCUUGUGCUAAGGUGAGUAUUAUGAGAGAAGAUUCUUCCUUAGGCUCGUUGACAGAGAACACUAGCUCUGAUAUCAAACGCAUGGCUUUGUUCAUUUUCACAGAAGUUCAUCUAAGGCUGGGUGCUUUGCCCUCUUCUUGUGCACCUUCUUUGAAUCCAGAGACACCUCUAAUAGUCUGUUACCUGAAUCAGGAUAAAGCAGCACCCAAAUUGUUCUACAGCAAUUGCAAAAAUUCUUUUAUUACUGAACUCUAUCUCAACUUUAUAGAUAUUAGGUGACCUGUCACAAGAGUGAGGCUACAGUGCUUGACCUUUGUGUCCUCUGUCUAUUUUAAGGGCAGGAACUAACAGCUCAGCAGAAGUGAAGCUGGGUACCUAUUCUUUGUCAUGGCUGCUCUCACUUCUAUCACACAAGUCCUUCCAUAAUUUGAAAUUAAGUGGGAGAAAUCUCACAUUGUAGGCAAAAAAAAAGAUUAGCAAGACCUAUAGGAGGCAAGGGAAAAACAAUAUACCUUUUCAAUUUGUAAUUUCAACAGUGGCAGAGAAGAUUAUAUUUUAAAAUAUUUAAUUUUUAAGUAAGCUAGUAAUUUAAAUAUACUUAAUUCAUUGAACUCUCCUGUUUUAAUAAUUAUUUCUGAAUCUAUUAUUGUAGAAAAACUAGAAAUUUAGAUGUCAUGUUUCUCUGGACUCUUUCUCCUGAUGGGUUAAAUGCCUCCUAAAUUCUAAGGCUUCAUAUAGACCUUGGAAAAGCCCAACAAAUAAGACAGUCUCUACUUACAUGGAAUUUGCAAUCCAUUGACUAAGGUAAGCAAGUGAAGCAACUAUGGCAACAUAGUGUAAGCUUAGGGUCUGAAACUCCAUGAAGGCAGAGUUGUCUGUCUCAUUUUCCUUCCUAUUGUCCUUGACAUCUAGCACAACGACUUGUACACGCAGAAGCUGAAUAAAUAUGUUCGGUAUUUUGGGGGAUUUUACAGGACAAGAACUUGGAGAAGUGGUACUUGAUCCAGUUCAUAGAGGGCUUUCUACAGAUGAUGCUUUCUGAGUGAAAUCUAGAAGCAUAUGUAAAUGCAAACCUGCAUAGAAAAAAGAGGCCAUCUGGAGUUCUCGUCGUGGCUCAGUGGUUAACGAAUCCGACUAGGAACCAUGAGGUUGCGGGUUUGAUUCCUGGCCUUACUCAGUGGGUUAAGGAUUCGGCAUUGCCGUGAGCUGUGGUGUAGGUCACAGACGCAGCUCGCAUCCCGCGUUGCUGUGGCUGUGGCUGUGGCUGUGGCUGUGGCUGUGGUUGUCAGCUACAGCUCUGAUUAGACCCCUAGCCUGGGAACCUCCAUAUGCUGCAGGAGCAGCCCAAGAAAUGGCAAAAAGAC
rnacentral:lncRNA from 1 species